rnacentral:rRNA from 1 species
UACAGAGGUCCCAAGCGUUGUUCGGAUUCAUUGGGCGUAAAGGGUGCGUAGGCGGCGCGGUAAGUCGGGUGUGAAAUCCCUGGGCUCAACCCAGGAACUGCGUCCGAUACUGGUUGGCUUGAAUCCGGGAGAGGGAUGUGGAAUUCCAGGUGUAGCGGUGAAAUGCGUAGAUAUCGUAAGGAAGACCAGUGGCGAAGGCGGGUCUCUGGACAGUUCCUGACGCUGAGGCACGAAGGCCAGGGGAGCAAACGGG